rnacentral:rRNA from 1 species
CCCGCCGGCGACCGGCGCACGGGUGAGUAACACGUAUGAAACCUGCCCGUAGCAGGGGGAUAAGCGGAAGAAAUUCCGUCUAAUACCGCGUAACAACCCAUGGAGGCAUCUCUGUGGGUUUAAAGGAAGCGAUUCCGGCUACGGAUGGUCAUGCGUCGCAUUAGCUUGUUGGCGGGGUAACGGCCCACCAAGGCGGCGAUGCGUAGGGGUUCUGAGAGGAAGGUCCCCCACACUGGUACUGAGACACGGACCAGACUCCUACGGAAGGCAGCAG